rnacentral:rRNA from 1 species
UACAGAGGGUGCAAGCGUUGUUCGGAAUCAUUGGGCGUAAAGCGCGCGUAGGUGGCCCCGUAAGUCCGCUGUGAAAGUCAAAGGCUCAACCUUUGAAAGCCGGUGGAUACUGUGGGACUAGAGUACGGAAGAGGCGAGUGGAAUUCCUGGUGUAGCGGUGGAAUGCGCAGAUAUCAGGAGGAACACCAAUAGCGAAGGCAGCUCGCUGGGACGUUACUGACACUGAGGCGCGAAAGCGUGGGGAGCGAACAGG